AUUGAACGCUGGCGGCAUGCCUUACACAUGCAAGUCGAACGGUAACAGGUCUUCGGAUGCUGACGAGUGGCGAACGGGUGAGUAAUACAUCGGAACGUGCCUAGUAGUGGGGGAUAACUACUCGAAAGAGUGGCUAAUGCCGCAUGAGAUCUACGGAUGAAAGCAGGGGAUCGCAAGACCUUGUGCUACUAGAGCGGCCGAUGGCAGAUUAGGUAGUUGGUGGGAUAAAAGCUUACCAAGCCGACGAUCUGUAGCUGGUCUGAGAGGACGAUCAGCCAAAAGGGGACUGAGACACGGCCCAGACUGCUACGGGAGGCAGCAGUGGGGAAGUUUGGGCAAUGGGCGCAAGCCUGAUCCAGCAAUGCCGCGUGCAGGAUGAAGGCCUUCGGGUUGUAAACUACUUUUGUACGGAACGAAAAGCCCUGGGUUAAUACCCUGGGGUCAUGACGGUACCGUAAGAAUAAGCACCGGCUAACUACGUGCCAGCCGCCGCGGUAAAAC
rnacentral:rRNA from 1 species